rnacentral:rRNA from 1 species
GUGUCAGCAGCCGCGGUAAGACGUAGGAUGCAAGCGUUGUCCGGAAUUAUUGGGCGUAAAGAGUUCGUAGGCGGUUACUUAAGUCUGGUGUUAAAUACUGGAGCUCAACUCCAGCAUGGCAUUGGAAACUGGGUGACUAGAGUGCGGUAGAGGUCUCGGGAAUUCCUGGUGUAGCGGUGAAAUGCGUAGAUAUCAGGAGGAACACCGGUGGCGAAAGCGCGAGGCUGGGCCGUAACUGACGCUGAGGAACGAAAGCCAGGGUAGCAAAAAGGAUUAGAUACCCUUGUAGUCC